rnacentral:misc_RNA from 1 species
UUUCCGUAGGUGAACCUGCGGAAGGAUCAUUACCGAGUUUUGAAUGAAGUUGUUCUGGUCUUUCGGGGCAAGUGAACGCUUCUCUCAAUCCAUCUUACACCUGUGCACCUAUCGGGGAAGACUUGGAUCUAAGUUGGGUCACGACGGCGAUCUACAGUCUCCUCUUUAUACCAAAUAACAGUUUUAGAAAGUCUUUUUUGCUUGAUGCAAACUUAAAUAAAUACAACUUUCAGCAACGGAUCUCUUGGCUCUC